GCUACAUCGAGACCUUUUAGAUUCGGUUGUUGUGGUACCAUAAAAAGAUGGCGAGCUGUAACAAAAGGCCCCGGAGAAGUAAUAUUUCAAGUAUGGAGACAUUCCGACAAGAGAAAUCAUUACAUAUUGAUUGGACAGAACGUUGUUAAGUUCGAUAAGGCAGGAGAUACAGUCAUAGACAUACCACAAAGUCAAAGAAUUUCCGUUGACAAGGGUGACUACAUAGGAUGGUAUACAGUAACAGAAGCUUUCAUUGUGCAUGAAGAAAAUGUAGGCAGUAAAGAUCACCAUAUAAUAGAAAAUAUGCCAGUUCCAUCUGAAGGACAAGAUGUUGACUGGUCUAAAAAUAAAGUCAAAGAAAAAAGGAUAUACGCAGUUGAAGCAAUAGGAGA